rnacentral:rRNA from 1 species
GCCAGACUCCUACGGGAGGCAGCAGUGAGGAAUAUUGGUCAAUGGGCGCGAGCCUGAACCAGCCAAGUAGCGUGAAGGAUGACUGCCCUACGGGUUGUAAACUUCUUUUAUAAAGGAAUAAAGUGAGGCACGUGUGCCUUUUUGUAUGUACUUUAUGAAUAAGGAUCGGCUAACUCCGUGCCAGCAGCCGCGGUAAUACGGAGGAUCCGAGCGUUAUCCGGAUUUAUUGGGUUUAAAGGGUGCGUAGGCGGAAUAUCAAGUCAGCGGUAAAAAUUCGGGGCUCAACCCCGUCGUGUCGUUGAAACUGAUGUUCUUGAGUGGGCGAGAAGUAUGCGGAAUGCGUGGUGUAGCGGUGAAAUGCAUAGAUAUCACGCAGAACUCCGAUUGCGAAGGCAGCCUGCCGCAGCGUUACUGACGCUGAAGCUCGAAAGCGCGGGUAUCGAACAGGAUUAGAUACCCCUGUA